rnacentral:rRNA from 1 species
GUAGGUGGCAAGCGUUGUCCGGAAUUAUUGGGCGUAAAGCGCGCGCAGGCGGUUCUUUAAGUCUGAUGUGAAAGCCCACGGGCUCAACCGUGGAGGGUCAUUGGAAACUGGAGAACUUGAGUACAGAAGAGGAAAGCGGAAUUCCACGUGUAGCGGUGAAAUGCGUAGAGAUGUGGAGGAACACCAGUGGCGAAGGCGGCUUUCUGGUCUGUAACUGACGCUGAGGCGCGAAAGCGUGGGGAGCAAACAGGAUUAGAUACCCUGGUAGUCCACGCCGUAAACGAUGAGUGCUAAGUGUUAGGGGGUUUCCGCCCCUUAGUGCUGCAGCUAACACAUUAAGCACUCCGCCUGGGGAGUACGGCCGCAAGGCUG